GCCAAACCUUAGGUGAGAAAAUAAUUUACUCAUAGACUUUCAAAAGUUCACAAAAUAUUUAUCGAAAGUUUGCAAAAGGAUUAAAAACUAAAUCACUUUGGCAAACACGGCCUCAUGGUGGGAGUGAUUUUAACGCAAAGCCUUCGCAGACCGCUAAGAAUUCCAUUGAAGCCACCUUCUUCUAUGUUAAUGUUUCGUUUCAUCGAGGUCUCAAUUUCGAUCUGCCCCGCGUUUCUCUCUUCAAAUUCGUUGAGAAUCGCUUGAUUCAGGAGUAUGUAACAUAUAGAAAGUCUUUGUAUUGAACACGCUUUAAAAGCGUUUAAUCUUUAUCGUGAAAAAUGGGGAUCAAUGUUCAGCCAUAUUCAUGUAUCGCUGCUAAUUUUGCCGAUUAUGCUGGUCUCCUUUUACCAGUAGAAAAAUUAUGGGUCUAGAUUCACGAUCGGGAGGCCAUUAGUCAUGGUUUUUAUGCUCCGGGCGGGAAAAAGGUUUCGGCUGCUUCUAUAUUUUGUGGGAGUUUUCCAUAUAAAGUGAAUCCACAAACUUGUUUGGUUUAUCAUGAUAAACUGAAGGAGAAGGCCAUGGUUAUGAGCCCAAGAUUUUGAUUUGUGGUGGGAGUUCAUAUCCUAGAGCUUGGGACUAUGGGAGGUUUAGGCCGAUUGCAGAAGUCUGACACUGUUCUUAUUUGUGGUAUGUCUCAUAUAAGUGGGCUUUUGGCAGCUAAGAAUAUGAUACUGCUUGGCAGAGGUAAGAAUACACAUCCUCCUGUCUACAGUUACAUUUUCUGGAAGCUGAAAAUUGUCUAAGUUUGCUGAUAUGAUCUUAUAAUCUCCUAGAAGUGAAAUUUUCACGGAUAAUGGGAUUUCAUAUCACAAAAUGUUUGAAGUUCAGGACCUUAGAUACACUACAAGUCAUGCUUAAAUCUGGAAUGAAUUUUUCCGUCAGUUUUUCUCAAAUGCCAUGUUCCUCAAAAUUUCUUUCAAGUAGUUAUUCUAGGUAACAGGUGAAGAAUUUCUAUCAUAAUUUCCAAUUUUGACAUUUUUUGUUGAAUUGCUUAUGUCGAUACUGUUUUAUUGAUACUCUUUAGGAAAAGGAGGCUGGAUGAGGUUUGUCUUGAAAGGUUUCAGCAAUAUUGUUGAGCACAGUCUUGGAUUUUACAAGGGUUGCUAACAGGCAAAACAACUUCUCAUUCGCAAGUUGUAUUGGUAGGCCUCUCUCCCCCUUUCAAUUUUAAGCAUAUUUUUGCUAGCUCUGCCCCCUUCCUUGAGCUGCUCUUCAUUCCCAUCCUUCACGACAUGAUUCUGCAGAAUUUCAAAUGAAGAACCUGUCAAUGGGAUAAGAAAAUACAUAACCAAACUUCUCUGCUCCUAUGUCUUGUCAAACAAAAGUUCCUUGUUACCUGUCAUUAGCUCCAAACGCUAUGAUAACUCCAAAACUGUACACCAUUUUGUUUGCUGUAUCAAAAAAACUAAAUAAUCCUGAUUGUUAUUAAUGGUACUCAUGGUUCCAAGUUAAGAAUUCAAA